rnacentral:misc_RNA from 1 species
UUGACUACGGUACGAUCAGCGACUGGGGUGAAGUCGUAACAAGGUAGCCGUAGGGGAACCUGCGGCUGGAUCACCUCCUUUCUAAGGAAAUCGAAAAAUAUUAAAACAAUUAUUUUCGAUUUAAAAAAAACCGGUAAUGUGACCGUCCUCAUUUCUCUUCUUUUAAUGUCUCUAAGGUAAAUCAAGGGGCCGGUAGCUCAGUUGGUUAGAGCGCACCCCUGAUAAGGGUGAGGUCGGAAGUUCGAGUCUUCCUCGGCCCACCAAUAUUAUGGGGGAUUAGCUCAGCUGGGAGAGCGCCUGAUUUGCAUUCAGGAGGCCAGCGGUUCGAUCCCGCUAUCCUCCACCAAAAUUUGAGACAUUUAGCUUUUUUAAAUUGUGAAUAUUAUUAUCAAUAUCUAUAUCCGAUUGUUUUCAGAUAUUUUUUUUGAAAACAAUCAAAACAAAAAUUUAAUUUAUUACAGAAAAGUUUUUUUCUGUGCAUAAAUCAAGCGUUUAAGGGCGAUUGGCGGAUGCCUUGGCACUGUAAGACGAUGAAGGGCGUGGUAUACUGCGAUAAGUUUCGGGGAGCUGUAUGCAGGCUUUGAUCCGAAAAUUU